UACGUAGGAGGCGAGCGUUGUCCGGAUUUACUGGGCGUAAAGCGCGCGCAGGCGGCACACUAAGUACGAUGUGAAAUCUCCCUGCUCAACGGGGAGGGUGCAUAGUAAACUGGUGAGCUAGAGGACGGUAGAGGGGGGUGGAAUUGCUGGUGUAGCGGUGAAAUGCGUAGAUAUGCGGAGGAACACCGAUGGCGAAGGCAAUCCCCCUGGACCUGUACUGACGCUCAUGCACGAAAGGCGUGGGGAGCAAACGAGG
rnacentral:rRNA from 1 species